GAAUAUUGGACAAUGGGCGCAAGCCUGAUCCAGCCAUGCCGCGUGUGUGAAGAAGGCCUUCGGGUUGUAAAGCACUUUCAGCGAGGAGGAAGGGUGCUGUGUUAAUAGCACAGCAUUUUGACGUUACUCGCAGAAGAAGCACCGGCUAAUUCCGUGCCAGCAGCAGCGGUAAUACGGAAGGUGCGAGCGUUAAUCGGAAUUACUGGGCGUAAAGCGCACGUAGGUGGCUACUUAAGUCGGAUGUGAAAGCCCUGGGCUUAACCUGGGAAUUGCAUCCGAUACUGGGUGGCUAGAGUACGGUAGAGGGAGGUGGAAUUCCAGGUGUAGCGGUGAAAUGCGUAGAGAUCUGGAGGAACACCGGUGGCGAAGGCGGCCUCCAGGACUGAUACUGACACUGAGGUGCGAAAGCGUGGGGAGCAAACAGGA
rnacentral:rRNA from 1 species